rnacentral:rRNA from 1 species
UAGGGAAUCUUCGGCAAUGGGGGGAACCCUGACCGAGCAACGCCGCGUGAGUGAAGAAGGUUUUCGGAUCGUAAAGCUCUGUUGUUAAGGAAGAACGAGUGUGAGAAUGGAAAGUUCAUACUGUGACGGUACUUAACCAGAAAGGGACGGCUAACUACGUGCCAGCAGCCGCGGUAAUACGUAGGUCCCGAGCGUUGUCCGGAUUUAUUGGGCGUAAAGCGAGCGCAGGUGGUUAGAUAAGUCUGAAGUUAAAGGCAGUGGCUCAACCAUUGUAGGCUUUGGAAAUUGUUUAACUUGAGUGCAGAAGGGGAGAGUGGAAUUCCAUGUGUAGCGGUGAAAUGCGUAGAUAUAUGGAGGAACACCGGUGGCGAAAGCGGCUCUCUGGUCUGUAACUGACGCUGAGGCUCGAAAGCGUGGGGAGCGAACAGGAUUAGAUACCCUGGUAGUCCACGCCGUAAACGAUGAGUGCUAGGUGUUAGGUCCUUUCCGGGACUUAGUGCCGCAGCUAACGCAUUAAGCACUCCGCCUGGGGAGUACGACCGCAAGGU